rnacentral:rRNA from 1 species
AGUUUGAUCCUGGCUCAGGAUGAACGCUGGCGGUAUGCUUAACACAUGCAAGUCGAACGGUCUCUUCGGAGAUAGUGGCGGACGGGUGAGUAACGCGUGAGAAUCUGCCUCUAGGUUUGGGACAACAGUUGGAAACGGCUGCUAAUACCAGAUGUGCCGGAAGGUGAAAGAUAAAUUGCCUAGAAAUGAGCUCGCGUCAGAUUAGCUAGUAGGUAGUGUAAAGGACUACCUAGGCGACGAUCUGUAGCUGGUCUGAGAGGACGAUCAGCCACACUGGAACUGAGACACGGUCCAGACUCCUACGGGAGGCAGCAGUGGGGAAUUUUCCGCAAUGGGCGAAAGCCUGACGGAGCAAUACCGCGUGAGGGACGAAGGCUUUUGGGUCGUAAACCUCUUUUCUCAGGGAAGAUAAUGACGGUACCUGAUGAAUAAGUAUCGGCUAACUCUGUGCCAGCAGCCGCGGUAAUACAGAGGAUGCAAGCGUUAUCCGGAAUGAUUGGGCGUAAAGCGUCCGCAGGUGGUUUUAUAAGUCUGCUGUUAAAGCGUUAGGCUCAACCUAAUAAGGGCAGUGGAAACUAUUAGACUAGAGUACGUUCGGGGCAGAGGGAAUUCCCAGUGUAGCGGUGAAAUGCGUAGAGAUUGGGAAGAACACCGGUGGCGAAAGCGCUCUGCUAGGCCUGUACUGACACUGAGGGACGAAAGCUAGGGGAGCGAAUGGGAUUAGAUACCCCAGUAGUCCUAGCCGUAAACGAUGGAUACUAGGCGUUGCCCGUAUCGACCC